ACUAGCUGACGAGUCCCGAACAGGACGAAACGCGCGUCCUGGAU
rnacentral:hammerhead_ribozyme from 1 species